rnacentral:misc_RNA from 1 species
AUUUUAGUUAAAUUUUGAAAAACUGUCACAUAUGAACCAAAAACUAUCUUAGUUUUUCACAAGUGAACAGGCCUUUAAAUUUUCUCAACCCAUAAGAUAAAGGACUCUAAGAAAUCCAUUUACAGGUCCAUCAUCACAUAACCAAAAUAUAGAGUUGAAAAAAUAGAGUUGCUUGUGUCAAAGCUCAAAAUCCAAACCAUCACACGUCCUAAAACUUCCAAUCCAAAAAACAAGUACAAGAGAUAAAGCUAAACCAAGCCUUAAAGAAUAAAGUCAUUUUACCUUGUAAAAAUUGGAGAACAUUGCUUACAAGUUACAAGAUAGCUAAUUCCUCAAAUAUGUUAGAUGCAAAAGGAGGUUUUAGUAAGU